GAGUGGCGAACGGGUGAGUAACACGUGGGUAACCUGCCCAGAAGUAGGGGAUAACACCUGGAAACAGAUGCUAAUACCGUAUAACAGAGAAAACCGCAUGGUUUUCUUUUAAAAGAUGGCUCUGCUAUCACUUCUGGAUGGACCCGCGGCGUAUUAGCUAGUUGGUGAGGUAAAGGCUCACCAAGGCAGUGAUACGUAGCCGACCUGAGAGGGUAAUCGGCCACAUUGGGACUGAGACACGGCCCAGACUCCUACGGGAGGCAGCAGUAGGGAAUCUUCCACAAUGGACGCAAGUCUGAUGGAGCAACGCCGCGUGAGUGAAGAAGGGUUUCGGCUCGUAAAGCUCUGUUGUUAAAGAAGAACGUGGGUAAGAGUAACUGUUUACCCAGUGACGGUAUUUAACCAGAAAGCCACGGCUAACUACGUGCCAGCAGCCGCGGUAAUACGUAGGUGGCAAGCGUUAUCCGGAUUUAUUGGGCGUAAAGCGAGCGCAGGCGGUCUUUUAAGUCUAAUGUGAAAGCCUUCGGCUCAACCGAAGAAGUGCAUUGGAAACUGGGAGACUUGAGUGCAGAAGAGGACAGUGGAACUCCAUGUGUAGCGGUGAAAUGCGUAGAUAUAUGGAAGAACACCAGUGGCGAAGGCGGCUGUCUGGUCUGCAACUGACGCUGAGGCUCGAAAGCAUGGGUAGCGAACAGGAUUAGAUACCCUGGUAGUCCAUGCCGUAAACGAUGAUUACUAAGUGUUGGAGGGUUUCCGCCCUUCAGUGCUGCAGCUAACGCAUUAAGUAAUCCGCCUGGGGAGUACGACCGCAAGGUUGAAACUCAAAAGAAUUGACGGGGGCCCGCACAAGCGGUGGAGCAUGUGGUUUAAUUCGAAGCUACGCGAAGAACCUUACCAGGUCUUGACAUCUUCUGACAGUCUAAGAGAUUAGAGGUUCCCUUCGGGGACAGAAUGACAGGUGGUGCAUGGUUGUCGUCAGCUCGUGUCGUGAGAUGUUGGGUUAAGUCCCGCAACGAGCGCAACCCUUAUUACUAGUUGCCAGCAUUAAGUUGGGCACUCUAGUGAGACUGCCGGUGACAAACCGGAGGAAGGUGGGGACGACGUCAAAUCAUCAUGCCCCUUAUGACCUGGGCUACACACGUGCUACAAUGGAUGGUACAACGAGUCGCGAGACCGCGAGGUUAAGCUAAUCUCUUAAAACCAUUCUCAGUUCGGACUGUAGGCUGCAACUCGCCUACACGAAGUCGGAAUCGCUAGUAAUCGCGGAUCAGCAUGCCGCGGUGAAUACGUUCCCGGGCCUUGUACACACCGCCCGUCACACCAUGAGAGUUUGUAACACCCAAAGCCGGUGGGGUAACCUUUUAGGAGCUAGCCGUUCUAAUGUG
rnacentral:rRNA from 1 species